rnacentral:rRNA from 1 species
UCCGUAGGUGGAUAAUUAAGUCAGAGGUGAAAUCCUGCAGCUCAACUGUAGAAUUGCCUUUGAUACUGGUUAUCUUGAGUCAUUAUGAAGUGGUUAGAAUGUGUAGUGUAGCGGUGAAAUGCAUAGAUAUUACACAGAAUACCGAUUGCGAAGACAGAUCACUAAUAAUGUACUGACACUGAGGGACGAAAGCGUGGGGAGCGAACAGGAUUAGAUACCCUGGUAGUCC